UACGUAGGGUGCAAGCGUUAAUCGGAAUUACUGGGCGUAAAGCGUGCGCAGGCGGUUUUGUAAGUUUGUCGUGAAAGCCCCGGGCUCAACCUGGGAAUUGCGAUGGAGACUGCAAGGCUAGAAUCUGGCAGAGGGGGGUAGAAUUCCACGUGUAGCAGUGAAAUGCGUAGAGAUGUGGAGGAACACCGAUGGCGAAGGCAGCCCCCUGGGUCAAGAUUGACGCUCAUGCACGAAAGCGUGGGGAGCAACAGG
rnacentral:rRNA from 1 species